UCCGCACUAUCAUGGAUAUUGUACAUCCGAGAAAACCUCCAUGGAGUGAUUUUUUUAGGAUUUUCGUGAUUUUUAUAAAUUAUUCCUUUUUUAUUUUUAAAGUGCAUGGAAUGCAGUCGCGUCAUCAGUCAGAGUUCCUGUUUGUCAAAGCUUCGUGAAUAGCAAGAGUACCGUGAAAGUGGAGCAACUUCUGAAAAGCAACGAGGCACUAAGUGAGAUGAAAAUGCUGUCACGAGUGUUGGUCGAGGGUGUGUCUUUUUCCGCUUUGCUGCCGCUGCGAUAGAGUUCGCCAGCAAAGGGGAACAGGCCGAUCCUCCCACAUUGUCAAAAUUUGAAAAAUUCACCAAAAAGGCACAAAAGUGGAAGCAGCCAAGGUAAUCCACAGAUGUUUGAUAGGGAAUUAAAAAAAUAAAGAGGGUACUUUUAAAUUUUGGGAACCGCCAAUAGUAACUCUCUCACGUGCUAUUUUGUCAGUAAGAUUAUGGUUUCAUUAUAAAUUGCUUAAUAAACUUAACAAACAAUUCAUUUCUUUGUAUGAUUUAUUCUCUAUGUUUUAAUUUUAUGAGUGAAUACUUGAACCUCUCGGUUAUCCGACCUGUUAAUCCAGCGUAAUCCACGUAAUCUAGUGUAAAAUGGAAGAAUGCACUUGUAAUCCAGUGCAAUUUAUAUUCGUCCAC